GACGAACCGUGCGAACGUUGUUCGGAAUCACUGGGCUUAAAGGGCGCGUAGGCGGGUUUCCCAGUCCGUGGUGAAAUCCCCCAGCUCAACUGGGGAAUUGCCGUGGAUACUGGAAGUCUUGAGGGGGUAGGGGCACGCGGAACGCCGGGUGGAGCGGUGAAAUGCGUUGAUAUCCGGCGGAACUCCGGUGGCGAAAGCGGCGUGCUGGGCCCUCUCUGACGCUGAGGCGCGAAAGCCA
rnacentral:rRNA from 1 species